UACGUAGGGAGCAAGCGUUGUCCGGAUUUAUUGGGCGUAAAGAGCUCGUAGGCGGCUUAGCAAGUCGGGUGUGAAAACUCCAGGCUCAACCUGGAGACGCCACUCGAUACUGCUAUGGCUAGAGUUCGGUAGGGGACCAUGGAAUUCCUGGUGUAGCGGUGAAAUGCGCAGAUAUCAGGAGGAACACCGAUGGCGAAGGCAGUGGUCUGGGCCGAUACUGACGCUGAGGAGCGAAAGCGUGGGGAGCGAACAGG
rnacentral:rRNA from 1 species